UACGUAGGGGGCAAGCGUUAUCCGGAAUUACUGGGUGUAAAGGGUGAGUAGGCGGUCAAACAAGUCAUAUGUGAAAGCCCAAGGCUCAACCAUGGGACUGCAUAAGAAACUGUUAGACUAGAGUACAGGAGAGGUAAGCGGAAUUCUUAGUGUAGCGGUGAAAUGCGUAGAUAUUAAGAAGAACACCAGUGGCGAAGGCGGCUUACUGGACUGAAACUGACGCUGAGUCACGAAAGCGUGGGGAGCGAACAGG
rnacentral:rRNA from 1 species